GACGAACGCUGGCGGCGUGCCUAAUACAUGCAAGUAGAACGCUGAAGAGAGGAGCUUGCUCUUCUUGGAUGAGUUGCGAACGGGUGAGUAACGCGUAGGUAACCUGCCUUGUAGCGGGGGAUAACUAUUGGAAACGAUAGCUAAUACCGCAUAACAAUAGGUGACACAUGUCAUUUAUUUGAAAGGGGCAAUUGCUCCACUACAAGAUGGACCUGCGUUGUAUUAGCUAGUAGGUGAGGUAACGGCUCACCUAGGCGACGAUACAUAGCCGACCUGAGAGGGUGAUCGGCCACACUGGGACUGAGACACGGCCCAGACUCCUACGGGAGGCAGCAGUAGGGAAUCUUCGGCAAUGGGGGCAACCCUGACCGAGCAACGCCGCGUGAGUGAAGAAGGUUUUCGGAUCGUAAAGCUCUGUUGUAAGUCAAGAACGAGUGUGAGAGUGGAAAGUUCACACUGUG
rnacentral:rRNA from 1 species